rfam:Nippostrongylus brasiliensis genome assembly, scaffold: NBR_scaffold0002199
GUCUUAGUAGCACAGUGCACAGCCCCAAAUAGGUUGAGACGCGGGUUCGAUUCCCGCCUGAGAUG